GACAACCUUGACCUUUUUCCCCACGACCGACCCGCACUACGAGCGGAAAUACUACUUCCCCGACGCGCGAGCUGGAGCGCUCGCUGCGCUUCGACAUGAAUGGCGACGACGUGAUCGUCUUCCUGCACAUCCAGAAGACGGGCGGCACCACCUUCGGCCGCCACCUCGUGCAGAACGUGCGCCUCGAGGUGCCCUGCGACUGCCGGCCCGGCCAGAAGAAGUGCACCUGCUACCGGCCCAACCGCCGCGAGACCUGGCUCUUCUCCCGCUUCUCCACCGGCUGGAGCUGCGGGCUGCACGCCGACUGGACCGAGCUCACCAGCUGCGUGCCCGGCGUGCUGGACCGCCGCGACCCCGCCGCGCUGCGCGCACCCAGGAAGUUCUACUACAUCACACUGCUGCGCGACCCCGUGUCCCGCUACCUGAGCGAGUGGCGGCACGUGCAGCGCGGGGCCACCUGGAAGACCUCCCUGCACAUGUGUGACGGGCGCACGCCCACGCCCGAGGAGCUGCCGCCCUGCUACGAGGGCACGGACUGGUCGGGCUGCACGCUGCAGGAGUUCAUGGACUGCCCCUACAACCUGGCCAACAACCGCCAGGUGCGCAUGCUGGCCGACCUGAGCCUGGUGGGCUGCUACAACCUGUCCUUCGUCCCCGAGGGCCGGCGGGCCCAGCUGCUGCUGGACAGUGCCAAGAAGAACCUGCGGGGCAUGGCCUUCUUCGGCCUGACCGAGUUCCAGCGCAAGACGCAGUACCUGUUCGAGCGGACGUUCAACCUCAAGUUCAUCCGGCCCUUCAUGCAGUACAACAGCACCCGGGCAGGCGGCGUGGAGGUGGACGCGGACACCGUCCGGCGCAUCGAGGAGCUCAACGACCUGGACGUGCAGCUCUACGACUACGCCCGAGACCUGUUCCAGCAGCGCUACCAGUACAAGCGGCAGCUGGAGCGCAGGGAGCAGCGCCUCCGGAGCCGCGAGGAGCGCCUACUGCACCGCGCCCAGGAGGCGCCGCGGGAGGAGGCGGAGGAGCCGGGCCGUGUGCCCACCGAGGACUACAUGAGCCACAUCAUCGAGAAGUGGUAGUGGCAGCUGGAGGCCCGCCGGGGGGAGGGGACAUCGGAGAGACGGCUCACGGCUGUCAGCACUCGGAGAGCGCCUGGAAGAGCACCUGAGCGAGGGUCGUUGGCUGAGUCCAGCGGCAUCGGCAAAGCCAUCUCCUGGAAAACAUACCUUCCCAAAAGGCAAGAAUGUUGUCAGUCCUAACCUAUAGCUCAGGUGCCGGGGGGUGGGUGUCAUUAUCUAAGUUCAGCCAGGCACCAGGGGCAGAUGCAAUUAUCAGAGUCCAGUUAGGCCUGAUGAUUACAAAAAGCCACAAGGAUGAAGAAUUGCAGGCCGGAGAUUCUGACAAUCUUCGUCGACGCCGCCUUGGCCUCUGCUGCUCCCAAUGGUUGUCACCAUGAAUCAGGACCUGCGCCGGGAGCGGGCCUCCGCCAGCUUCAGCCCCGAGCUGCUCACACACAUCUUGGACGGCAGCCCGGAGGACACCUGCCGACGCCGAGAGAUCGAGAACCUGAUUCUGAACGACCCAGACUUCAAGCAUGAGGACUUGAACUUCCUCACUUGCAGCCAGCGGUACGAGGUGGCUGUUAGGAAGAGUGCCACCUUGGUGAAGAAGAUGAGGGAGUUUGGCAUCUCAGACCCUGAUGAAAUCAUGUGGUUUAAAAACUUUGUGCAUCCAGGGCCUUCGCCUCUGGAUCUCCACUUGGGCAUGUUCCUGCCCACCUUGCUUCACCAGGCGACUGCGGAGCAGCAGGAGCGCUUCUUCAUGCCCGCCUGGAACCUGGAGGUCAUUGCACUUACGCCCAGGCAGAGAUGGGCCAUGGGACUCAUCUGUGAGGCUUGGAAACCACAGCCACAUAUGACCCUGAAACUCAGGAGUUUAUUCUCAAUAGUCCUACUGUGACCUCCAUCAAGUGGUGGCCUGGCGGACUUGGAAAGACUUCAAAUCAUGUGAUAGUACUAGCCCAGCUCUACACCCAGGGGAAAUGCUAUGGAUUACAUGCCUUCAUUGUACCUAUUCGUGAAAUUGGAACCCACAAGCCUUUGCCAGGGAUCACUGUUGGCGACACUGACCCCAAAUUCGGCUAUGAUGAGAUGGAUAAUGGCUACCUGAAGAUGGACCAUUAUCGUAUCCCCAGAGAAAACAUGCUGGUGAAGUACGCCCAGGUGAAGCCUGGUGGCACCCACGUGAAAGCCGUGAGUAACAAGCUGACCUACGGGACCAUGGUGUCCAUCAGGUCCUUCCACGUGGGAGAAGCUGCUUGGAGCCUGGCGAAGGCCUGCACCAUUGCCGUCCGAUACAGCGCCGUGAGGCACCAGUCGGAAAUCAAGCCGGGUGAACCAGAACCACAGAUUUUGGAUUUUCAAACCCAGCAAUAUAAACUCUUCCCACUGCUGGCCACUGCCUAUGCCUUCCAUUUUGUAGGCGCCUACAUGAAGGAGACCUAUCGUCGCAUUAAUGAAGACAUUGGCCAAGGGGACCUGAGUGAGCUGCCCGACCUUCAUGCCCUCACCGCCGGGCUGAAGGCUUUCACCUCCUGGACAACUAACACUGCCAUCGAAGCCUGUCGGAUGGCCUGUGGCGGGCAAGGCUACUCUCACUGCAGCGGCCUCCCAAACAUCUACGUCACCUUCACCCCGACCUGCACCUUCGAGGGAGAAAACACCGUCAUGAUGCUGCAGACCGCCCGGUUUCUGAUGAAAAGUUACAACCAGGUGCACUUGGGAAAGCUGGUGUGUGGCAUGGUGUCCUACUUGAAUGACCUGCCCAGUCAGCGCAUCCAGCCGCAGCAGGUGGCCGUGUGGCCCACCGUGGUGGACAUCGACAGCCCCCACAGCCUCACCAAAGCCUAUCAGCUCCGGGCGGCCAGAUUAGUAGAAAUCGCUGCCAAAAACCUUCAAACUGAAGUGAGUCACAGAAAAAGCAAGGAGGUCGCGUGGAACCUGACUUCCAUGGACCUCGUGUGAGCUAGUGAGGCACACUGCCACUAUGUGACAGUUAAGGUCUUUUCAGAGCAGCUCCUCAAAAUUCAAGAUAAGUCCAUCCAGGCCGUCUUGAGGAAUUUGUGCCUCUUGUAUUCUCUGUACGGGACCAGUCAGAAGGCAGGGGAUUUUCUUCAGGAGAACAUCCUGACAGACUCUCAGAUCACCCAGGUGCACCAGCGCAUCAAGGAGCUACUGACCGUGAUCCGCCCGGACGCUGUUACGCUCAUCGAUGCGUUUGAUUUCCAGGAUGUGUCGCUGGGCUCCGUGCUGGGCCGCUACAAUGGCAACGUGUAUGAGAACCUGUUCAAGUGGGCCAAGACCUCCCCGCUCAACAAAGCCGAGGUCCAUGAAUCUUUCUACAAGCACCUGAAGCCACUGCAGUCCAAGCUCUGAAGGUCACGACCUCAGUCCUCCACGCCCCUGCACCCGCCACACAGACCUGCACGGAAUCUUGAUCCAAUGCAGAGAGCUUUGGAGCACAUGAUAAACGGACCCUUUCCUCUUUAUAAAUGAAGAAAACAAUGACCAGCUUUCAGAGAUUAAAUGAAAAAACAAAUGUUUUAAGUGCAAUUAACACUGAAAGAGACCCGCUAAGCAUUCAGAAAAAUCUUUAAGAAAUGCAGUAUGAUUUAUCUUUGUAACGCUGCUGAUCCCAGGCCAUAACUUUUGAUAAUUCAUAAAGUUUAACUACUAAGUAGUUAAUUUUUCAUUCUUAAUUGCUAAUCACUGGAUAAUAGUGUUUUUAAGCAAACGUAUUUUUGAAGUGGGGUAGCACCCUUCUGAGCUUUCCUGCUGAAUGCCCUACCCCUCCCACCAUGGGCCCUGGCUUAAAAGCAGUUCCGAAGAAAACGGAUUGGGAGAAAUAAACUAAUCAGGAAAUUUGAUGUGAGUCCAGCUUGACACAUUUUCUGUCUGCUUGUCCUUGAUUGCUGACGUAUUUUCUAAUUGUUCAUAGUAGCAUUUGUCCAACACAAGGAUUUCUUCGGCACAGGCCCACUGCGAGGUCAUGGUCUGGUGCAAUUGGGGCUGAAUCUUACAUUUGAAGGAUCGCUAAAUUGUCACUGGAGUAGCACUGCAACUCCCUUUGUCCCCAACAUCUUGGGAAGAGGUAGGUAGUGAAGUUAUCUCAUAGGACCUUUGGCAGUGAUGGGACUUCAAUCAUUGGUGUUUGAUCUCCCGCCCUCCUCCCCUAACUUCCUGAAGGAGGUGCUGAAGAAAGGAGUCACCGUUCCUUCCUGGUGGAGUGAGUGUAGGGAGAGCUCUCGGUCACGGUUACUGUGACUUGGUGGCCAUAUUCACUGGAAAGCCUGGAACAAUCCAGAUUUCAUAUGUGCUAUCACUUUGGCUAAACCAUGAACAUGCUUGGAGGUUUCAGCACCCAGCACGACAGAAGUAAAAGCAUCACUCAGGCUGCCUCUUACACCCCUGGUAGCACAGAAAAACCCUUCGCGAACCAUGUGUUCUGAUUUUGGAUCAGAAAAUAUAAUCAUUGGAACUAUGGCUGAAGGAUAAAUGGAAGUUGCAUAGAAUCUGUUUCUUACUGUACAUCUGGUUUUAUUUUCAGUAUGUUUCUACGCGUUUUAUCUGAACUGCUAAAUUGUUCUUUCAACUGAAAUCUAAUUUACACAAUCAUUCUAUAUGUAAAGGGUAAACAUGUAUCUCUUAAAUGAGUUUUAUUCUUAAAAUCAAUGUAAAACAACACAUCACUUGAUUUUAAUUUUUUUUAACCUGCUAACGGUGUCUGUGAAACCAGUUGUUUCUGCCUCAGGAAGCUGGUUGUCCUAGAACUGUCUUGAAGAAGUGCUGUAGUUCAUGGAAAUUAAUUCCUACCUGGGACCUGACAUAAAAUCUGUCCCAGUAAUCGGAGAAUUUUAGGCCCAGCAGGAAUGCUAGUCUGUCGACACAAGCCUUACUCUCUCCGCCAGGAGGAUUAAUUGACAAUUGUGUUAAGAUUGAAGUAAAAAGCACCAUGUUCAUCUCAUUUGAGUAUUUCUUGACAGUAGUUCAGAUUCUGAGAAAUAAUAUUUAAAUUACUGGAUAUUGACCUGUUAAAUACAGAAUUGUUUCAAAAUCAGUGCUUAAGCACCUUACCCACAGAUGAACAUCUGUAAUCAUAAUCUGUGUUUGAGAUACAUGCACCUAAUAAAAAACUAAAUCUGGAAAAAAAAA